UGGGGAAUAUUGCACAAUGGGCGCAAGCCUGAUGCAGCCAUGCCGCGUGUAUGAAGAAGGCCUUCGGGUUGUAAAGUACUUUCAGCGGGGAGGAAGGGAGUAAAGUUAAUACCUUUGCUCAUUGACGUUACCCGCAGAAGAAGCACCGGCUAACUCCGUGCCAGCAGCCGCGGUAAUACGGAGGGUGCAAGCGUUAAUCGGAAUUACUGGGCGUAAAGCGCACGCAGGCGGUUUGUUAAGUCAGAUGUGAAAUCCCCGGGCUCAACCUGGGAACUGCAUCUGAUACUGGCAAGCUUGAGUCUCGUAGAGGGGGGUAGAAUUCCAGGUGUAGCGGUGAAAUGCGUAGAGAUCUGGAGGAAUAACGGUGGCGAAGGCGGCCCCCUGGACAAAGACUGACGCUCAGGUGCGAAAGCGUGGGGAGCAAACAGG
rnacentral:rRNA from 1 species